rnacentral:rRNA from 1 species
CAGCCGCCGCGGUAAUACGUAGGUGGCAAGCGUUGUCCGGAUUUAUUGGGCGUAAAGCGAGCGCAGGCGGUCAAUUAAGUCUGAUGUGAAAGCCCCCGGCUCAACCGGGGAGGGUCAUUGGAAACUGGUUGACUUGAGUGCAGAAGAGGAGAGUGGAAUUCCAUGUGUAGCGGUGAAAUGCGCAGAGAUAUGGAGGAACACCAGUGGCGAAGGCGACUUUCUGGUCUGUAACUGGCGCUGAGGAGCGAAAGCGUGGGGAGCGAACAGGAUUAGAUACCCCGGUAGUCCCUGUCUCUAUACA